AUGAACGCUAGCUACAGGCUUAACACAUGCAAGUCGAGGGGCAGCAUGGUCUUAGCUUGCUAAGGCCGAUGGCGACCGGCGCACGGGUGAGUAACACGUAUCCAACCUGCCGUCUACUCUUGGACAGCCUUCUGAAAGGAAGAUUAAUACAAGAUGGCAUCAUGAGUCCGCAUGUUCACAUGAUUAAAGGUAUUCCGGUAGACGAUGGGGAUGCGUUCCAUUAGAUAGUAGGCGGGGUAACGGCCCACCUAGUCUUCGAUGGAUAGGGGUUCUGAGAGGAAGGUCCCCCACAUUGGAACUGAGACACGGUCCAAACUCCUACGGGAGGCAGCAGUGAGGAAUAUUGGUCAAUGGGCGAGAGCCUGAACCAGCCAAGUAGCGUGAAGGAUGACUGCCCUAUGGGUUGUAAACUUCUUUUAUAAAGGAAUAAAGUCGGGUAUGGAUACCCGUUUGCAUGUACUUUAUGAAUAAGGAUCGGCUAACUCCGUGCCAGCAGCCGCGGUAAUACGGAGGAUCCGAGCGUUAUCCGGAUUUAUUGGGUUUAAAGGGAGCGUAGAUGGAUGUUUAAGUCAGUUGUGAAAGUUUGCGGCUCAACCGUAAAAUUGCAGUUGAUACUGGAUAUCUUGAGUGCAGUUGAGGCAGGCGGAAUUCGUGGUGUAGCGGUGAAAUGCUUAGAUAUCACGAAGAACUCCGAUUGCGAAGGCAGCCUGCUAAGCUGCAACUGACAUUGAGGCUCGAAAGUGUGGGUAUCAAACAGGAUUAGGUACCCUGGUAGUCCACACGGUAAACGAUGAAUACUCGCUGUUUGCGAUAUACUGCAAGCGGCCAAGCGAAAGCGUUAAGUAUUCCACCUGGGGAGUACGCCGGCAACGGUGAAACUCAAAGGAAUUGACGGGGGCCCGCACAAGCGGAGGAACAUGUGGUUUAAUUCGAUGAUACGCGAGGAACCUUACCCGGGCUUAAAUUGCAGAUGAAUUACGGUGAAAGCCGUAAGCCGCAAGGCAUCUGUGAAGGUGCUGCAUGGUUGUCGUCAGCUCGUGCCGUGAGGUGUCGGCUUAAGUGCCAUAACGAGCGCAACCCUUGUUGUCAGUUACUAACAGGUUCCGCUGAGGACUCUGACAAGACUGCCAUCGUAAGAUGUGAGGAAGGUGGGGAUGACGUCAAAUCAGCACGGCCCUUACGUCCGGGGCUACACACGUGUUACAAUGGGGGGUACAGAGGGCCGCUACCACGCGAGUGGAUGCCAAUCCCCAAAACCUCUCUCAGUUCGGACUGGAGUCUGCAACCCGACUCCACGAAGCUGGAUUCGCUAGUAAUCGCGCAUCAGCCACGGCGCGGUGAAUACGUUCCCGGGCCUUGUACACACCGCCCGUCAAGCCAUGGGAGCCGGGGGUACCUGAAGUGCGUAACCGCGAGGAGCGCCCUAGGGUAAAACUGGUGACUGGGGCU
rnacentral:rRNA from 1 species